UACAGAGACUGCAAGCGUUAUUCGGAUUCACUGGGCGUAAAGGGUGCGCAGGCGGCCGUGUGUGUCAGGUGUGAAAGCCCGGGGCUUAACCCCGGAAUUGCGCCUGAAACUACAUGGCUAGAGCAUUGGAGAGGGUAGCGGAAUUCACGGUGUAGCAGUGAAAUGCGCAGAUAUCGUGAGGAACACCAGAGGCGAAGGCGGCUACCUGGACAAUUGCUGACGCUCAGGCACGAAAGCGUGGGGAGCAAAAAGGG
rnacentral:rRNA from 1 species